rnacentral:pre_miRNA from 1 species
CCCUCAAUGGCUCAGUAGCCAGUGUAGAUCCUGUCUUUUGUAAUCAGCAGCUACAUCUGGCUACUGGGUCUCUGAUGGC